AUUGAACGCUGGCGGCAGGCCUAACACAUGCAAGUCGAGCGGAUGAAGGGAGCUUGCUCCUGGAUUCAGCGGCGGACGGGUGAGUAAUGCCUAGGAAUCUGCCUGGUAGUGGGGGAUAACGUCCGGAAACGGGCGCUAAUACCGCACACGUCCUGAGGGAGAAAGUGGGGGAUCUUCGGACCUCACGCUAUCAGAUGAGCCUAGGUCGGAUUAGCUAGUUGGUGGGGUAAAGGCCUACCAAGGCGACGAUCCGUAACUGGUCUGAGAGGAUGAUCAGUCACACUGGAACUGAGACACGGUCCAGACUCCUACGGGAGGCAGCAGUGGGGAAUAUUGGGCAAUGGGCGAAAGCCUGAUCCAGCCAUGCCGCGUGUGUGAAGAAGGUCUUCGGAUUGUAAAGCACUUUAAGUUGGGAGGAAGGGCAGUAAGUUAAUACCUUGCUGUUUUGACGUUACCAACAGAGUAAGCACCGGCUAACUUCGUG
rnacentral:rRNA from 1 species